rnacentral:lncRNA from 1 species
CCGCCACAACCUGCGAGAAAAGGAGAGCCCCUUCCCCGCCCCGAGGGCCGAAUGUUGUGCUCUUCAGCUCUACUUCUCAAAGCAAGAAAAAGAACUUCUCAAACAAAUCUGUGAGAAACAGCAGAAAUUGUGCUCUUCCCACAACGUGAGGCCCUCAAAUAGAGAACAGUGGUCUUCACCUGGGAAGCAUCCUGGGAGCACCUGGGAACUCAAUGGUGGCAACAGAUGGAGAUUCUGGAAGGGGAAAUCGAGGUUUGAAACUUUUGGACCUCUCUUGACUGCAACGUGAGUUCCUUUUGACACUGAUGUGGGAGGAAGGGAAUUUAGAUUGCUAGCCUCUCAACCUAUCCCUCAUUACCAGAAUUAGAAAAAUUUCCCAAUUUUUGGUGCUGAGAUUCCCAGAAACUCUUAAAAGGUUUCUUUCAGUGAGAGAGUCCUAAAAUAACAGCCUGUUUUUCAGAUUCCAAGUGGAGAGUAUUUCUAACAUGCAUAGGUAGCUUUGACAAUGUCCUCUGUGAAAAACUAAGUUAAUGGUUGUUUUUAUGGUUAUUUCUUAUUGAAAUUUAUAUUAAAAUUUGUCUAAAAGGUUUUUGUUUUUUCACUCAGUUAUGCUUUAAUAUAUCGCUUUUUAUUUAACUUUUUGUGGAAUUAAAUAUAUGAUAUUCAUCUCUGAAAGUUAAAAAAAGGAGGUAAAUAUCACCCUAGAGCACAUGAUUUAUUUAUUUUAAAAUUUUUAUUGAUCUUUGUCAUGAUUCUUUUUAAUAGCACACCUGAAUUAAUCUUGGCUGGGAAAAUUCAUUUACAAUUUUAUAAUAAACGCCCCAUUAAAAAAGUGCUUUUUUUUUUUUUUUCCCUCAC